AAAUUGAAGAGUUUGAUCAUGGCUCAGAUUGAACGCUGGCGGCAGGCCUAACACAUGCAAGUCGAACGGUAACAGGAAGCAGCUUGCUGCUUCGCUGACGAGUGGCGGACGGGUGAGUAAUGUCUGGGAAACUGCCUGAUGGAGGGGGAUAACUACUGGAAACGGUAGCUAAUACCGCAUAACGUCGCAAGACCAAAGAGGGGGAUCUUCGGGCCUCUUGCCAUCGGAUGUGCCCAGAUGGGAUUAGCUAGUAGGUGGGGUAACGGCUCACCUAGGCGACGAUCCCUAGCUGGUCUGAGAGGAUGACCAGCCACACUGGAACUGAGACACGGUCCAGACUCCUACGGGAGGCAGCAGUGGGGAAUAUUGCACAAUGGGCGCAAGCCUGAUGCAGCCAUG
rnacentral:rRNA from 1 species